UACGAAGGGGGCUAGCGUUGCUCGGAAUUACUGGGCGUAAAGGGUGCGUAGGCGGCUUUUUAAGUUUGGUGUGAAAUCUCCUGGCUCAACUGGGAGGGUGCGCCGAAUACUGAGAAGCUAGAGUGUGGGAGAGGAAAGUGGAAUUCCUGGUGUAGCGGUGAAGUGCGUAGAUAUCAGGAGGAACACCGGUGGUGUAAACGGCUUUCUGGACCAUAACUGACGCUGAGGCACGAAAGCGUGGGUAGCAAACAGG
rnacentral:rRNA from 1 species